GGGACAACGUUCGAAGGAACGUAUACCGCUACUCCACGGGAGAAAGCAGGGGACCUCGGGCUUGCGUUCAGUGAGCUAGUCGGUUAGCUAGUGGGGGGAAUGGCUCACCAAGGCGACGAUCCUAACUGGCUGAGAGGUGAUCAGUCACACUGGAACUGAGACACGGCCAGACUCCUACGGGAGGCAGCAGUGGGGAAUAUUGGACAAUGGGCGAAAGCUGUCCAGCCUGCCGCUGGUGAAGAAGGCUUCGGUUGAAAGCAUUUAAGUGGGAGGAAGGGCA
rnacentral:rRNA from 1 species